AUUGAACGCUGGCGGCAUGCCUUACACAUGCAAGUCGAACGGCAGCACGGACUUCGGUCUGGUGGCGAGUGGCGAACGGGUGAGUAAUAUAUCGGAACAUACCCUAGAGUGGGGGAUAACGUAGCGAAAGUUACGCUAAUACCGCAUAUGCUCUACGAAGGAAAGUGGGGGAUCCGCAAGGACCUCACGCUAUGGGAGCGGCCGAUGUCCGAUUAGCUUGUUGGUGGGGUAAUGGCCUACCAAGGCGACGAUCGGUAGCUGGUCUGAGAGGAUGAUCAGCCACACUGGGACUGAGACACGGCCCAGACUCCUACGGGAGGCAGCAGUGGGGAAUUUUGGACAAUGGGGGCAACCCUGAUCCAGCCAUGCCGCGUGCGGGAAGAAGGCCUUCGGGUUGUAAACCGCUUUUAGCCGGGAAGAAAAGGGCACGGAUAACACCCGUGUCUCUUGACGGUACCGGCGGAAUAAGCACCGGCUAACUACGUGCCAGCCGCCGCAGUAAUAC
rnacentral:rRNA from 1 species